rnacentral:lncRNA from 1 species
GAAAGAUGCACGGAUGAGCAUGGGCAUCUCCGCUGUACUGCUGGCACUUCUACUGCAGGGCUGAGAUGCUGAAGCAGCCCAGAUCCGGGACUGUACCUUUACUGCACAGCUCCAUACCAUCCUGAGCUCAGCACAACUCUGAGGCCCUGACUCCGCGUGGGCUUCGAAGUGUCUGCCAACAUACCUGAUCCACAAUUUCUCCAUCUCUGAAGAAAGGAUAGUGAUGACUACUCCAAAAUUAAAGUAAUGCGUACCACAUGCCUGGCACACGAAUGCUGCCAUUCAAAAAUUAUCAGUGGUGACUACAACAAUACAAACCUCGCAUACAACUCACUGCUGGUCUCCCCAAAGUUCAGCUGGCC